AAUAAAGAUAUGGAGGUGCUUGAACUUGCUUGUUGGUUUCGUGUCAUAACAGUUAUAG
rfam:Streptococcus pneumoniae R6, complete genome.